UCCUCGGUAGCUCAGCGGUAGAGCGGUCGACUGUUAAUCGAUUGGUCGCAGGUUCGAAUCCCGCCCGGGGAG
rfam:Synechococcus WH7803 complete genome sequence.